UACGAAGGGGGCUAGCGUUGCUCGGAAUGACUGGGCGUAAAGGGCGCGUAGGCGGCUCAUACAGUCAGAUGUGAAAUUCCUGGGCUUAACCUGGGGCUGCAUUUGAUACGUGUGGGCUUGAGUGGGGAAGAGGGUCGUGGAAUUCCCAGUGUAGAGGUGAAAUUCGUAGAUAUUGGGAAGAACACCGGUGGCGAAGGCGGCGACCUGGUCCUUGACUGACGCUGAGGCGCGAAGCGUGGGAGCAAACAGG
rnacentral:rRNA from 1 species